GACACCUUUGAGAAUCUCGACAUUUGUUUUAAAACAAUCUAUUUGCAAAACAGAUUUUUUCAGAGGCUGUACAUUAGGCUCGCAAAUACUUUUUAGAACAUCAUUCUAUAUAGCUACAUAGUAGCCCUCUUUCAAUUAUAAUUCCUCUCUUAUCUUUCUCUCAAAGUCUUUUUUUUUGUUCUAGAAGGAGACAGCUGGUGACCCGGAAAUGCUUCAGACACAAGUCAAGGUGUGUGGCAGCCUUCCAGAAGUUGGACAUGGUGCAGUAUCAGAAGAGACCUGCCAGACAUGGAAUCAUCUGACAACAAGCCAGGCAAUUAAAGAUAGUGUGGAAUACAUGGGAACUGGGCUGUCUGUUCUCACCAUGAUGCCAGCAGGAAUGAAACAACAGAGGUGAAGAAGUAAUUGUAACCUGUAGGUGCAAUCCUCAUUCCUUGCCCACUGGCUUUUUAGCUUGUUCUCUCAUUAAAUAUUCUAUUAGUCCUAUUGAAAUUGAAAAACCAGGUACAUGCAUUGGGCUUUAUUCCACCACCAUCUUCCCAGGACAACCAACGUUGGGAAAGAUGAUCUUGAAAGCUACUUCAAAAUAAUAUGACUUCUUCCCAUGAUUCAAUCCUACAUGGAUUGUCCUAUAUUCAUCUGAUUUAGCUGGGCAUUAAACACCCCUUCACCACCAAAAUGCAUCCUCUAGAGCUCCAUAGAAGAGGUACCUUUGUGGCUUUUUGAGGUCCCCCAUGCCAGCUCUGAAGAUUGCAGAGUUUUGGAGCAGAUGUGGGGGUUAGGAUGAAACAUGCCAUACCAAUGCAGAUGGCCUUUUUCCAGUCCAGGAAUGGAUCUGUCUACUCCUGGGAUGGAUUCCUUGAACCAGAUCGGAGUGGGACACAGCAUAGCCUGCACUGGCAGGUGUACUACUGUCUGUAGACAAGACUGAAGUCAAUAACCUGAUGGAAAGGUGACACUGCAGAGAACCUCCAGAGGAAUAACUGAGUGGGUAUUCAGAUGAAGCCAACCAAUUAAAACACUGGGGUAGCUUUUGAACACUCAGUAUGAAGACCUGAAAUGUGGGCUAUAGUCAUGUUUACUUUGAAAUGUUGAGCUAAAGGUAAGCUAGUAGGAAUUCAAAAAAGGAACUGCCCCAAAUCCCCCCCUUGAAAAACAGCACCUUGGUGGCACAUAAAGAGUCCAUCCCACAUUUUGUUGAAAAGCCAUAUUUCUCUAGUUUUUGCUCACCCAUUCACAACAAACAAACUAACAAAAAAUGCAUGCGCAAUAGGAAAAGUGGAGCAGAAGCUCUUCUUUGUUUGAAAUAUGUACACUGAUCACUCUCCAGCUUUAUCCAAGGAGUCAUAAUUAUUAAGUGCAGUUAGUCCUUCAUU
rnacentral:lncRNA from 1 species